rnacentral:rRNA from 1 species
CCUANGGGUGGCUGCAGUCGCGAAAACUUUGCAAUGCACGAAAGUGUGACAAGGGAACUCGAAGUGCUCAUGUUUUACAUGGGCUUUUGCCAACGGCAAAAACGUUGGAGAAUAAGUGGUGGGCAAGACCGGUGCCAGCCGCCGCGGUAACACCGGCGCCACAAGUGGGGAUCAUUAUUACUGGGCUUAAAGCGUUCGUAGCCUGUUCGGCAAAUUCUUUGUGAAAUCGUUGUGUUAAAUGCAACGUCGCGCGGAGAACACUACCAAACUCGGAACCGGGAGGGGUUAGAAGUAUGUCAGGGGGAGCGGUAAAAUGUUAUAAUCCCUGAUGGACUACCUUUGGCGAAGGCGUCUAACUAGAACGGAUUCGACGGUGAGGAACGAGAGCUAGGGGAGCGAAACGGAUUAGAUACCCGUNUANUC